UCGAAAAUCACUGUAGAUGUCUAGCUUCUU
rnacentral:sRNA from 1 species